AUUGAACGCUGGCGGCAUGCCUUACACAUGCAAGUCGAACGGUAACAGGUUAGGCUGACGAGUGGCGAACGGGUGAGUAAUAUAUCGGAACGUGCCCAGUCGUGGGGGAUAACGUAGCGGAAGCUACGCUAAUACCGCAUACGAUCUACGGAUGAAAGCGGGGGAUCGCAAGACCUCGCGCGAUUGGAGCGGCCGAUAUCAGAUUAGGUUGUUGGUGAGGUAAAAGCUCACCAAGCCUGCGAUCUGUAGCUGGUCUGAGAGGACGACCAGCCACACUGGAACUGAGACACGGUCCAGACUCCUACGGGAGGCAGCAGUGGGGAAUUUUGGACAAUGGACGCAAGUCUGAUCCAGCAAUGCCGCGUGCAGGACGAAGGCCUUCGGGUUGUAAACUGCUUUUGUACGGAACGAAACGGUGAGCUCUAAUACAGUUUGCUAAUGACGGUACCGUAAGAAUAAGCACCGGCUAACUACGUGCCAGCCGCCGCCGUAA
rnacentral:rRNA from 1 species